UAUUUUAUGCCUUUGUUUUUCAUGGUUUUCUUUUUCAGCUUUUUUAGCCGCCCACACUAGGAGGCCGCUUCGUUACGCGCAAAAGAAAACCAAGACGAACAAAGCAGCCUCCCAUCUCGGGGGGCUUUUUUUUA
rfam:Plesiomonas shigelloides 302-73 genomic scaffold scaffold00012, whole genome shotgun sequence.